AAAAUUCUCUGCAUCUAACUUAUUCCAGCGUCCAUCUGUGCUUAGUCCAUCACUUCCAGCGUUCUUUCUUGCUGUCAUCCAUAAGGUUGCGAGAAGCGAGUGGAUCCUCGUUGGGUGAAAUCGUUGUUGGAGGCUUGCAAGAACAAAGAUCCAUUGCAACAUUCUUCUGGCUGCAAUCAAACCAACAAA